rnacentral:rRNA from 1 species
GACGAACGCUGGCGGCGUGCUUAACACAUGCAAGUCGAACGGAAAGGCCCUGCUUUUGUGGGGUGCUCGAGUGGCGAACGGGUGAGUAACACGUGAGUAACCUGCCCUUGACUUUGGGAUAACUUCAGGAAACUGGGGCUAAUACCGGAUAGGAGCUCCUGCUGCAUGGUGGGGGUUGGAACGUUUCGGCGGUUGGGGAUGGACUCGCGGCUUACCAGCUUGUUGGUGGGGUAGUGGCUUACCAAGGCUUUGACGGGUAGCCGGCCUGGGAGGGUGACCGGCCACAUUGGGACUGAGAUACGGACCAGACUCCUACGGGAGGCAGCAGUGGGGAAUAUUGCACAAUGGGCGGAAGCCUGAUGCAGCAACGCCGCGUGCGGGAUGACGGCCUUCGGGUUGUAAACCGCUUUCGCCUGUGACGAAGCGUGAGUGACGGUAAUGGGUAAAGAAGCACCGGCUAACUACGUG